UUCUCACCUGCAAGCAGAAGCCCCAGGAGAAAGUCCAGAGUCACCCGAGGGUGCGGCCCCAGGGAGCUUCACGCAGCCAGCUCUGCAGCCAGCACCUAAGGAGGAACCCUGACAGCCCUCUGAGAACAAGCCCGGGCCAGACUGCUGGGGGAUGUGUUGUCAUCGGGCAGCCAACCUCCAGCCUCCAGAACAGGCCCAUCGGAGAUCAGCACAGCCUGGAUCAGGCCAGCAGCACUGCCUGGGUGGCCCCGGCUCGUGAGCAAGUGUAGAUGCUUAUUGCUUUUGUCCACCGCGUCUCCAGGCUGCUGGGUUUGCAGCAGCAGCUGACCCAUCCACCACGGCCACCACGAGAGGUCACACAGGUACCACUUGAAGCUGCGACACUUCAGCCUCUGACGCAGGGCCAGCCUCUCAGACACGUCCCCGAAGUCCACCCCUGGGUUCUGCAAGGCCAGAAGUAGGUGAGAGGAGGGUCUGAGGCAGCUGCUCCUGAUGGGAAGGACCCUGCCAGAGGCCAGCCCCGGCCUGGACAGACGGCCCCUGCUGCAGCCGGCUCGUCCACACCCACCCGGGCCCAGGAACCUCCUGCCUGAGAAGACGGCCCUGCUCACCUGGCCUUACUGCACGGCAUCAGCCUGACCUCUGGAGGGUGGAGACUGAGGUCAGCCAUAUCCAGAGACCAGCCUGGCCUGAGUAGGACAGAAAGGCCGAGGCAGGGAGUGUUCACACACUCUGCUCGAUUCGGGCUGGGACGUGGGUCCUCCCCUGCCUUCAGGCUUGGAGCUCACGCCACCGGCUCUCCUGGGCGCCUGCCAGCCGACGGCCAAUCUCGGUACCCUCAGCCCCCGUAACCGGGUGAGUCAAUUCCUUAGAUGAACUUUCACAGCUAAGCCCACGUCCCCACCAUCUGCUAUUAAUCUGUUUCCCUGGAGAGCCCUGAGCCAGCCCCGUCCCAUCCUAUCCUACCCUAUCCUGUGCUGUCCCAUCCCAUCCACCCCAUUAAAAAAAGGCCGAUGCCACCCACGGGCUGACAUCACUAUGAACAAAUGGGUCUGAUCCACGUGGCCCAAGCUCCGCCGUGCUCAGGUCCUCAGCCCUGAGCCUGCCAUGCUGGACGAGUGUGCCAGGCCCAGGGCGGGCACUGUGCUUGCCUCAUCUCCUGAAUCCCCCCACCACCCGAGAAAGGGUGGGCAGCCCUGGCAUUGCCCCGUUCCCUCCGCGGUGCUGAGAAGGUGCCGAGGCCGAGGGUGGUGCCAACUGCAGGGGCGCACGGGGUGGAGCCUCUGCCCAGCUGAGCUCGGAUCCCUCAGUCAUCCCUGGACUCUGGUUCAUCCUCGUCCAGGCUGCUCUCAUCUCCAGGCCGUUAUCUUAAUCAUGUCUGCAAAGAUCCCUUUUCCCAAAGAGGGCCACACUCACACGUCCCCUAGCUGCAUCCUCCGGGGGUCGCCUGUCAGCCCAGCCCACCCCAGAGGCCCAGUCCCUUGUGUGGGGGAGCAGGGGGCUCCUCCCUCCCCCGGACUCUCUGCCUUCAGGAAGCCGAGUCCCAGGGAGAGAGAGAACCGGGAGGCCGUAUCGCCGAUCACUUACGGCUGCUCCGACACCGCCCACCGCAGGACAGAUCCAGAGUCCGGGGCAGGAGGGAGCCGCUCCCUCCUCGCCGAGAUGACCACACAGCACGCAGCUAACGCCAGGCUCCCUGACCCCGGUCCGGCAACCCAGAGCCUCCUCGCUGCUCAGCUCAGCCCAGCCGGGGACACCCCCGCCCCACAGUCCCACGUCACCCACAGGGGUCCGGCUCCUUCCCCGGGAUGGUGGAGUCCGCGGCGCCGCCGUGCCAGGCUGAAGUUGGCCUUUGCAUCCCGAGGGAGCGAACCGCGUUUCUGCAUCAGGUUCACAUCGUGGCAGGUGGUUUCUGGGUUUCUGUCUGUUGUCUCUGCUGUGGGACAACCUGCCUGAGAAAAGCCUGGGGUUUUCCAGCCCCCUGAGCCGGGGCUUCCUUUCUGCCUUCCAGACUAGGGUCGGGAUUUCUGUUCGCAGCGGGAAGGGGCCCCGCUGGUGAAUCCCGCCCACCGCCCUCCCACUCCGCGGAUGUCUCCCACCCUCAACCUGAGACCACCCAGGUUUCGUGAGAAGGAGGGGGGAAGCACCUCGGAGCCCUGCCCUUCGCUGGAAGGGGCCGGAACGAAGGAAGCUCUGCAGGGGCGGGACAGAGCCUCGUCCUCCAUCGUCUGCCCACCCGUCUUCAGAAGCGCCUGGCACACUGGCCUCUGGGACGACCUCCAGCAGUUUCAGCCUCCUUGUCUACCCCCAGUACAGAGGCCACGGUGACUCGGUCCCCCCACCCACCACAGAAUCCUGUCCUCGGGCCUCACGCUGGGGAACACGAAGCCCCCCAGGGCUCCUGACGCCUGCCUUGCCCACCCCCUGGGUUCGAAGCACCUUGGCCUUCCCAGCACCCCCACGUGCACCCCUCAGGGCCUUGGCACAGGUGGUGCCCACGCCGGGCGCCCUUCCCAGGUCUCUGCAUGCUCCACUGCCUCCAGCCUUCAAAGCUCUAGUGCCAGAGAGAUUAGUUAAAGGCACAAAACCAGCCGGGCACAGGGGCCUCACACUUGUAAUUCCAGCACUUUGGGAGGCCGAGGUGGGUGGAUCACUUGAGGCCAGGAGUUCGAGACCGCCUGGCCAACAUGAUGAAACCCCAUGUCUACUAAAAAUACAAAAAUUAGCUGGGCAUGGUGGCAGAUGCCUGUAGUCCCAGCUACUCAGGAGGCUGAAACAUGAGAAUCUCUUGAACCCGGGAGGCAGAGGUGACAGUGAGCUGAGAUCACACCACUGCACUGCAGCCUGGGCGACAGAGCGAGACUCCGUCUCAAAAAAAAAAAAAAAGGACCAAAACCACAGGCAGAGAGGAGCCAGUGCUGGUGCCGCUGAGGGAGGACCGUGGACCUGACCGUGACCCAGCCGGCAACUGGGAGGAGGAGCCGAGCCCCCACACAAGGAAAUGGCAAAUGUGGAGAUGGCGGCUGACCUGAGUGCGGCACGCCAUACCCCGUGAACGGGGACAAUCCUAUUUGUCCAUUAAAAAAACCAGCGAGCCUGGGCAACAUAGUGAGACACCACCUCCACAGAAAAAAACAAAAUUAGCCAGGUGUGGUGGUGCAUGCCUGCGGUCCCAGCUGCUUGGGAGGCUGAGGCGGGAGGAUCACCUGAGCCCGGGAGGUUGAGGCUGCAGUGAGCCAAGAUCACGUAACGCUCUCCAACCUGGGUUAAAGAGUGAGACCCUGUCUGAAAACAUAAAAAGUAAAAAUAAACCCCAAAUGUCACCA